rnacentral:rRNA from 1 species
UUAGAGUUUGAUCCUGGCUCAGGACGAAUGCUGGCGGCGUGCUUAACACAUGCAAGUCGAGCGGGGAUAUUUGCGGAAGGUUUUCGGACUGGAAGUAAGUAUUCUAGCGGCGGACGGGUGAGUAACGCGUGAGCAAUCUGUCCCAGACAGGGGGAUAACACUUGGAAACAGGUGCUAAUACCGCAUAAGACCACAGUGUCGCAUGGCACAGAGGUAAAAGGAGAAAUCCGGUUUGGGGUGAGCUCGCGUCCGAUUAGCUGGUUGGUGAGGUAACGGCCCACCAAGGCGACGAUCGGUAGCCGACCUGAGAGGGUGAUCGGCCACAUUGGAACUGAGACACGGUCCAAACUCCUACGGGAGGCAGCAGUGGGGAAUAUUGGGCAAUGGGCGAAAGCCUGACCCAGCAACGCCGCGUGAGUGAAGAAGGUUUUCGGAUUGUAAAGCUCUGUCCUUGGUGACGAAGGAAGCGACGGUAGCCAAGGAGGAAGCCCCGGCUAACUACGUGCCAGCAGCCGCGGUAAUACGUAGGGGGCAAGCGUUGUCCGGAAUGACUGGGCGUAAAGGGCGUGUAGGCGGCCUGAUAAGUCUGGAGUGAAAGUCCACUUUUCAAGGGUGGAAUUGCUUUGGAUACUGUUAGGCUUGAGUGCGGAAGAGGUAAGUGGAAUUCCCAGUGUAGCGGUGAAAUGCGUAGAGAUUGGGAGGAACACCAGUGGCGAAGGCGGCUUGCUGGACGAUAACUGACGCUGAGGCGCGAAAGCGUGGGGAGCAAACAGGAUUAGAUACCCUGGUAGUCCACGCUGUAAACGAUGAAUACUAGGUGUGGGAGGACUGACGCCUUCCGUGCCGCAGUUAACACAAUAAGUAUUCCACCUGGGGAGUACGACCGCAAGGUUGAAACUCAAAGGAAUUGACGGGGGCCCGCACAAGCAGUGGAUUAUGUGGUUUAAUUCGACGCAACGCGAAGAACCUUACCAGGGUUUGACAUCCAACUAACGAAGUAGAGAUACAUUAGGUGCCCUUCGGGGAAAGUUGAGACAGGUGGUGCAUGGUUGUCGUCAGCUCGUGUCGUGAGAUGUUGGGUUAAGUCCCGCAACGAGCGCAACCCCUAUUGUUAGUUGCUACGCAAGAGCACUCUAGCGAGACUGCCGUUGACAAAACGGAGGAAGGCGGGGACGACGUCAAAUCAUCAUGCCCCUUAUAUCCUGGGCUACACACGUAAUACAAUGGUGGUUAACAGAGGGAGGCAAUACAGUGAUGUGGAGCAAACCCCCAAAAACGGUCUCAGUUCGGAUUGCAGGCUGCAACUCGCCUGCAUGAAGCUGGAAUUGCUAGUAAUCGUGGAUCAGCAUGCCACGGUGAAUACGUUCCCGGGCCUUGCACACAACGCCCGUCA